UCUCAUCAAAUUAUGUGGUACAGUAGUUGCGUUGCAAAGUGAAAACAUACAUGCCUGUCUAGGGUAUGGGUUUGGUAUUUUGUGUUCAGUCACAAUACAUUCCUUUGAGUGUAUUCAAGAAUUUAUGGAUCUCCUUCAGCGAGGUUCAUAUUAAAUCUAAAGUGCCAAUAGUUGGAUUGCAGAGCAUGUUUUUCAGAGAACAGGUACAAGUUCUCAAGACUCUGAGGAUGUGCUCAAGCCUGUGGUUGUGCUGAAAAGCAAUGUGGUUCAUAGUUACACCGUAAAGAAGAAUGUAUUCUAGGUGUUACUGUAAGUGUGUCCUAAAUUAAUCUACUAAGAUGUCAUAUUACAUUGUGUGUCACAAUUUACGUCUGCAUUUCUGGGUUCAUAGUGAACAUAUUACAAAGAAAACAGUGUUAAGUCAAAACGUGAACAUGGGGUUUAACACAAGUUUUGUUACAUAAGAAUUCAAUUUGUUUGAUACUUUCAAUUCCACAGCAUUUUGUACGUUAUCUCUAAAGCUAUCAGCCACCUGAAUCAACCAAAAUCCAAGCAGUACCAAUCUGCUGUUUCAUCUUUUGAUUGUAUUGUGAUGCUUUUGUGCUGUGGGUUUCUUAAAUCCAUAAUAUAAAUAGAAAUGUCACUCACAGUGUAGUUAUAUUUAACAAAAGGGGAGAAGAUUAAUUUCAAGCACUUUGGACUCAUUUAAGAUGAUCCACAUGACUGAUAAUGUGUCUUCAUUCCCUUAAUAAUUGUAUUAAUAACUGUUUAAUCUCUCUCUCUCUCUCUCUCUCUCUCUCUCUCUCUCUCUCUCUCUCUCUCUCUCUCUCUCUCUCUCAGAUGUAUAUUUACUUAAGCUGUGUGCAACCUAGAUGGCUGCUCUAAACAUGUUUUUUGCUGAUAACUCGAGAACUAUAUAUCAGAUCGGGUAAAAGAGUAUAUAUUGUCUAUAUAUAUACUCAUGGUUUGCAUUAAAUAUAUGCCUUUAAAUGCAUAUAGCCCAAUUAUUCAAUCUGGACAUGAACAUACUUUCAAGAUGGAUUUCAACUUAAUAGCUCAGCAUAAUUUUUCUGUGUCCCAACAUAUCUACAUAUUGACAAGGCAUAGGUCUCCUGUGGUGAGUCAUGGUCUGCAAUAUAAAAGGGACUUAUAUUGAAAUUGGAAUUCCAGUGCAUGGGGAAGAAAAACAAACCAGGGCAGGGGGAGGGGGGAGCCUCUUUCCCUGACUGCUCAGCAGUCGGAAGUGUGGAAAGCAAAUUCACAGAAUGUUUAAGAACAUCAUGAAAGUAUUAUUCAAGAAUGUUUAGAAAUGCAUACCAACAAUAUGCAUUAUUAUUAUUAGUAUUAUUAUUAUUAUUAUUAUUAUUUAAUCUGAAAAAAGAUUCUAAAUGUUUUGAUGAUAUGCCAUUCUAAUACACUGUAUUGUGUUACUUUAAAUGAAAUUAAAAUGUGUAUUGAAUUACAGAAGUAAUUGUGUGUUUGAACAAGGCUUCAGUACCAAUUGCAAAAGUGUGUGAAUACAUUUGUAGUCUUUGUUUAUGUAUAAAAACUGAUUGCAUAUUUCCAGCAAAUGUUUUAGUGUAUGUGUUUGUGUCAAAAUCAUAUAUGGAUAUUGUCAUAUUUUAUACAGCCUUGGAAACAGGCAAUAGGGCAACACCAUCCAUCUUAAUAGAUAAACAUUUCAAAACUUUCAAAUUGUAUGUUUGCUGUGUUAUUUGUUAUUUGUUGGCUUAGGGCACCUACACAACAUCAGGAUGGGUGUAAAAAAUGGUCUUAUCUGCAAUGAUUAUGAGAUCCACCCUGGUGUAAAGACCAAAAUCUGGAAGCAUGUAUGGAGUACAUAUUUAUACAUGGGAUUUCCAUCUGAUCAUCAGAUGAUUGCUAUGUCAAUAUAGCAUAUUCAUUUUUUGUAGAUACAAAUCAAGUAUUCAUGUUAGCUAGAUAGCUUAAUGGAACUUGCCAGACAACUGGAUAGAUAUUGAUGCAUCAUCACAUUCAACACUGACGUAAAAAAAAUGGUUGGACUUAAAGAGCUGUGUAAAACUGUGCUGUGGUGUCUACUUCCUGAUCUAUAUGCUUUGCUAAUCUAAAACAGAAUAUGCUUUUACAUUGAGCGUACAUUUAAAAAUACAGUAUGAUUUUGUGUAUUGACAACUGCAUAAGCAGUUUCUUGAAAUUAAGUGAGGCCAUUGUAGCUUUAAAUUCAAAUAAUCUUGCCUGCAUAUUUGUUGAUUGUUCUGUGUAAGCUAUUGCAAUGUGGAUACUUUUCUUCAAAAUGUCUCAGUCAAGUAAUUUAUUUCUAUUCUUUGUGUAUCAUUUUUUUUUAAACGUUGAUAUAAAUAAAUGUGAAUUUUGUUCAUC